GCUCUAAAUUAUAUCUGGAAAAUAGGCCACGCUGUCAUGAUUUUGAAGAGGAGUCCAGAGGUCAAGGAGGUGGUAGGACUCAAACGGAGCCUGAAAAUAUGGGCAGGACUUGGCCAGCCUUCCCCAGUGACAGCCUGGCUCUUUGGAUUCAAGCUGCCUGGUCAGACUGCAAGGGUCGUCUGCGGAGAGAAGGAAGCAGCAGUGCCAGGUUCCAGCGUGCGUUCCAAGUUCCACAUUCCGUGUGCAGACACCCGGCGCCAGAGCAAAGGCCAGCCCUUGGCAGGGGACUGGUAAGAGUUCAUCUGGUACAUUUUUCCCUCUACACACAGAACCUGGGGCUUCCUGGAUUUCCCAGUCUCUCUGCUUUCAUUCACAGUGGCUCCUGAAGCUGGCGACCAGCUGGGUUACCUAGGGAACAUUUUUUCCUUAAUCAUUUAAUUGACUCGUCUUAUUUAGGAGCAGAGAAUGUUUUGCUCUAUAUACAAAAGUGCAGUUUUAAAAACAUUACAUCCUAAAAUAAUGGGGAAUAGGUGGGCUAAAUAAUUUUCUUUUUAAUUUCCAAUGACAGUUUGUAAGGUUGAAGCCAAAGACUUGGUCUUUGUCACAAACACGGGGCUGUUUUUCCACCAAGCCUGGUGAGCGGUACAUCUUUCUAGACAGCAUUCUAUCUUUUUUUUUUUUAAUUAUGGUAAAAAAAAAUAUAACAUGAAAUCUACCCUCUUAACAAAUUUUUUGAUUGUACAGGACAGUAUUGUUAACUAUAUGCACAUUGUUCCACCGCCGAUUUCUAGAACUUUUUCAUCUUGCAUGACAGAAACUCUAAACCCAUUGUAUAGCAACUCCCCAUUUCCCCCUUUCCUUAGCCCCUGGCAGCCACCAUUCUACUUUCUGCUGCAAUGAAUUUUAGACAGCUCAUUUAAGUGUAAUCACGCAGUAUUUGUCCUGUGACUGAUUUUUUUCAUUUAGCAUACUGUCCUCUAGGUUCAUCCAUGAUGAAGCAUGGGACGGGAUUUCCUUGUCAUAUUUAAGGCAGAAUAAUAUUCCCUUGUAUGUAUAUACAAAAUUUUCUUUAUCCACUCAACAAUCAAUGGACACGGGUUGUUUUUGCCUCUUGGCUAUAGUGAAUAAUGAUGCAGUGAACAUGGGAGAGAAAAUAUCUCUUUGAGAUCCUUUUUUCAAUUCUUUUAGAUAAAUACCCAGAGGUGGGAUUGCUGGGUAAUGUGGUAGUUCUAGUUUUGAUUUUUUGAAGAAUCUCCAUACUGUUUUCCGUAGCUGCUACACCAUUCUACAGUCUCACAGUGUACAAGGUUCCAAGUUCUCCACAUCCUCACUGACAUUUGUUAUUUUUUGCUUCUUUUUUUCUUUUUUUGGAUAAUGGCCAUCCCAACAGGUGUAAGGUGAUAUCUCAUUAUGAUUUUGAUUUGCAGUUCCCUGCGGCUUAGUGAUGUUGAGCAUUUUUUCAUCUGUAUGUCUUUUCAUUUGUAUGCCAUUUUUUCAUUUGUAUGUCUUCUUUAGAGAAACGUCUAUUUAAAUCCUUUGUUCAUUUUUAAUUGUUUUUUCUUUUUCUUUUCUUUUUCUUUUUUUUUACUGUUGAGUUGUGGGAGUUCCUUACGUAUUUUGGAUAUUAACCCCUUAUCAGGUAUAUGAUUUGCAAAUAUUCUCUCCCAUUCCGUAGGCUGUCUUAUCACUGUACUGAUUGUUUCCUUUGCUGUGCAGAUUUUGAGUUUGAUAUAGUCCCAUUUGUCUAUUUCGCUUGUGUUGCUUGUGCUUUUUCCUGCCGAGAAAUCAUUGCCAAGACCAAUACCAUGAAGCCUUUCUCCUACAUGUUUUUCUAGGAGUUUUAUAGUUUUAGGUCUUAAGUUUAAGUCUAAUCCAUUUUGAGUUGAUUUCUGUGUAUGGUCUAAGAUAAGGGUCCAAUUUCAUCCUUUUGCAUGUGGAUAUUCAGUUUUCCCAACACCAUUUGUUGAAGAGACUAUCUUUUCCCCAUUGUGUAGUGUUGGCACCCUUGUUGAAGAUCAUGUUAUUGUGUAUGUGUGGAUUUAUUUCUAGGCUCUCUAUUCUGUUCCAUUAGUCUAUAUGCCUCUCCUUAUGCCAGUACCAUACUGUUUUGAUUACUGUAGCUUUGUAAUAUGUUUUGAAGCCAGGAGUAUGAGGCCUCUAGCUUUCUUCUCUUUCAAGAUUGUUUUGGCUAUUCCAGCCCUUUUGUGGUUCCCUAUGAAUUUUUGCAUUUUUUUUUCUAUUUCUUAAAAAAAUACCUUUGGGACUUUUAUAGGGAGAGCGUUGAAUUUUAGAUCUUUAGGAUCUUUGUCUUCCAAUUCAUGAUCAUGGGAUAUUUUCCCAUUUAUUUGUGUCUUUAAUUUCUUUCAGCAGUGCUUUAUAGUUUUUAAUAUACAAGUAUUUAGCUUCCUUGGUCAAGUUUAUUCCUAGUAUUUUGUUCUUUCUGAUGAUAUUGUAAAUGGGAUUGUUUUCUUAAUUUGCUUUUCCUAUUGUUCAUUGUUAGUGUAUAGAAGAGCAACUGAUUUUUAGAUACUUGAUUUUGUAUCCUGCAACUUUGCUGAAUUCGUUUAUCUAAGUUUUUUGUGGAAUUGUUAGGGUUUUCUAGAUAUAAAAUUAUGUCAUCUUGGAAUAAAGAUAAUUUUACUUCUUUCUUUCCA
rnacentral:lncRNA from 1 species